AAUCAACGCUGGCGGCGUGCCUCAGACAUGCAAGUCGAACGAUUAAAGCUCUCUUCGGAGAGUGUAUAGAGUGGCGCACGGGUGAGUAACACGUAAGUAAUCUACCCUCGAGUGGGGAAUAACAACCGGAAACGGUUGCUAAUACCGCAUAAUGCAGCGGCACCGCAAGGUGACAGUUGUUAAAGAUUUAUCGCUUGAGGAGGAGCUUGCGGCAGAUUAGCUAGUUGGUAGGGUAACGGCUUACCAAGGCUACGAUCUGUAACCGGUCUAAGGGGACGGUCGGUCACACUGACACUGAAUAACGGGUCAGACUCCUACGGGAGGCAGCAGUCGGGAAUUUUGGGCAAUGGGCGAAAGCCUGACCCAGCAACGCCGCGCGAAGGAUGAAGUAUUUCGGUAUGUAAACUUCGAAAGAAUAGGAAGAAUUAAUGACGGUACUAUUUAUAAGGUCCGGCUAACUACGUG
rnacentral:rRNA from 1 species